AUUGAACGCUGGCGGAAGGCCUAACACAUGCAAGUCGAGCGGAGCGGCAGACGGGUGAGUGAUGCCUAGGAAUCUGCCUGGUAGUGGGGGAUAACGUUCGGAAACGGGAGCUAAUACCGAAUACUAUCAGAUGAGACUAGGUCGGAUUAGCUAGUGGGUGGGGUAAAGGCCUACCAAGGCGACGACCCGUAACUGGUCUGAGAGGAGGAGCAGUCACACUGGAACUGAGACACGGACCAGACGCCUACGGGAGGCACCAGUGGGGAAUAUUGGACAAGGGGCGCAAGCCUGCUCCAGCCAUGCCGCGUGUAUGAAGAAUGUCUUCGGAUUGUAAAGCACUUUAAGUUGUGAGGCGGUACCAACAGAAUAAGCACCGGCUAACUUCGUGCCAGCAGCCGCGGUAAUUC
rnacentral:rRNA from 1 species